UUUAGCUCAUCUUAUCACGCACCCUCACCCGUAUAAUUAUAUCCCACAAAAAUAAUAACUUCUAACUAAUUUUAUCUUAUCUUUAACAACCUACCCAGCAAAAUAAACCGCCUCCUCCCUCACGUUUUGUUCCUUUUGACCAUAUAUUCAAAAAGCGGGACCCACCUCAGGAGAUCUCAAAAAAAAAAAAAAUUCAGGGAGAAUUCACCUCACAGUAAAAACACAAUCAUCUUCAUCCAUCAUUCACGCCAAAUACCAUUUUUUUUAACAUAAUUCUCACUGUCACUCAAUAGAAAAACCCAUAAUACUCGCAAUCAACCGAAUACACUCAUAUAUACCCACAUGAAAGGGAGAAACCAAACGGAAAAAGAGAGAGAAGUGAGACGGAGAGAGAUUGGAGAUCGGGAGUAACGGAAAUGGCUCGCCGGAAAUCGACUGAGAAUCAUCCUCUGGGUAUUGCUAUCACUGUUACGCUGGAUUUACCAUCGAAAAGACCAUACCGUCGCUAUCCGCUACUGUUUUCGGCGAAACUCGCCGAAAAACAGCGCUGUCAGCGUCGCUCCAACCAUUUUCUUCACCGGAGCUCGAAUAGUAUGGGUUCCUCAGUUUUUUUGUCUUCGACUUGAGUGAUAUACUUCGUCUUUCUCGGGAUUCAAGUCAGUUCGUGUUAUUAUUUCUCAUUAUUGAGUUGGUGUGGCUCGUUAUUGAGUUUCGAUUCGAGGUUUUCGGUGCCGUUUUUAUCUUCAAUAUAUUGAAAGCUAAAAGUUUAGGUACAAUUCUAAUCUUCUCUUCUUUUACUUCAUUAUUUAUUGUGUUUGGUGCAUCGGAUUGAACAUUUGUGUGAUUGAAUGAUCUUUGUUGUUGGUGAACGAUUGCUUUUCUUUAGUUAUGAAUCAUGUGAUGAAGUGAACCUUCUUGUAAAUUUGGAUUGAUUAAAGACUUUUGGUUUAAUUUGGUUUAAGUAUAAAUAUGGUUGAAAUGUGAUAGAAUCAUGAUAGGUCGAUUCGGAUAGACAAAUAGUAGGUUCGGGUAGGUAAAGUUUAGAAUUUAUGAUUUUGUUGAGUGUUUGAAAUUUUAUUGAACGUUUGAAAUUUGGUUGAAUGGUUUGAUUUUCUCGCAUUGAAAAAUUAUACUCAUUUGGUCGGGAAAUGCCCCGAAAAAUUUGUAUUGAUUUAUCCGAAAAAUGUUCCGAAGUACCAUGUACUUGAAGAUGACGCAUGAUCAAGAACCGAAACGUCGGGUGGAGAAAGCAAUGGAGUGUAGUUUAGAAUUAGCAUAGAAUAGAGUAGGUUUAUAUUUUCGCAUUUUUCUAUUUCAGGAUUGUAAUAAUCAGACUGGACACUAUAAUUUUGGAUUUGUUUUGUUUGUUUGUUU